CAGCUGAAAAAGCAGUCCUUCAUCUUUAUUUUCUCCAGGCAGAACCAACCUUUCAUCAAAGCUCUUGAAAGGAUGGAAGAGGGACAGGGACAUUAAGGGGACACCGGGUGCGCAGUUCGGGUACGCCCCUGAAGCACAGAGGUGCGUGGGUGCUGUAUGAGAUGCUGCAAGAGAGGACAACACUGCAGCACAGCGUUCCAGAAAAGCAGCAGCAGCCCUUCAAGAGCCCUGCAAACCUUCCAGUGCGCUGAAAAGCUGGUAUGCCUUUUUGGCUUCUGAGAGUUUAAUAAAGGUAUAGAGAAUGCAGAUGAUGAGCUUGGAUUUUCGGCAGUUCCAGCUCAUGAAGAGCUUACCUCGAAGAUGUCAUCAGAUGUCAAGUGAUGGUUUGGAAGGGAGACCCACUUCAAGCAACAAUGGAGAUGACUGUUCUGCUCUGAUAAACUAGCACAUCCUCACUUUCCAUCAGUUUGAAAAAUAUAUCUCCUCCCUUCCAGCAACAUCCAAAGUCUGCAGUAUUUCCUCAGCUCUCAUAAGAUCCAUUUCCAAAUGUAUUUGUUUCUGCUGUGAAGAGGGGUACACUGAGGUCCCUAUAGCACAGUUGCAUGCUGAAGUUCCUGAAGACCAGAAGAUCUCCAAGAGAAGAACAGGCUAAAAAGCCUGCACAUCACUGUAUCCUCUCCUCCUGAGGCCGGUGGAAGUUUUUUGCAUGGGGAAAGGCAGUGAGAACAUUUCUGAAGCAAGGGUAAGUAUAUACGACGAGAUGCAGUUACUCAUUUUUUACCAUUACCUUUCUAAAGAUCAGACUUUUCUUUCCUUGAUAGGCACAGAGAAGCCUAAAAAACCUGUGCAAAGAUAGUUACCAGCUGGAGUGAGACACCUGGGAGGAUAAUGUGACUCUUGCAGGGUGACAAUGCUCAGAUCAGGCAAGAAAAUCUUUUUCCGCCUUUAUCCAAACAUGGAUACCUAGAGUGUAGACACCUGACCCUUGAGCUUGUCACAUCAUCACCUGAGAGAGUCUAUGAAGAUGGCUGUAGAGUGCAAUUUUGCUUGUCUGGAGAUUAAAAUAAAAAACAGAUCAGAUAUCCUCCAGGAAUAUUAAUUUUCUUCCAUUAAUUGUAAUCUGGUU